rnacentral:rRNA from 1 species
CCUACGGGAGGCGGCAGUGAGGAAUAUUGGUCAAUGGACGAGAGUCUGAACCAGCCAAGUAGCGUGAAGGAUGACGGCCCUAUGGGUUGUAAACUUCUUUUAUAAAGGAAUAAAACGAGGCACGUGUGCCUUUUUGCAUGUACUUUAUGAAUAAGGAUCGGCUAACUCCGUGCCAGCAGCCGCGGUAAUACGGAGGAUCCGAGCGUUAUCCGGAUUUAUUUGGUUUAAAGGGAGCGUAGAUGGGUUGUUAAGUCAGUUGUGAAAGUUUGCGGCUCAACCGUAACAUUGCAGUUGAUACUGGCAGUCUUGAGUACAGGUGAGGUAGGCGGAAUGCGUGGUGUAGCGGUGAAAUGCUUAGAUAUCACGCAGAACCCCGAUUGCGAAGGCAGCUUACUAGCCUGUGACUGACGUUGAGGCUCGAAAGUGUGGGUAUCGAACAGGAUUAGAUACCCCAGUAGUC